GGAGAGAUUCAUGGCUCAAUUGUAGAGCAUCUGUUUGAUAGAUAGUCAAAUGGUCCCAGGUUCAAUCUCUGGCAUCUCCA
rnacentral:tRNA from 1 species